GGAAAUGAAGAGGUUAGUCAAAACUUAGUGUCUUUUUGUUACAUGAGGUUUAAUUUGGACUUCCGUAAGUUGAAUGAAAAAACAUGGAGAAUAGAGAUAAGGAGCUUUCAGGAUCAGAAAAAUAAAACUCAAACCCUUCAUUACGAUGUUACAGCUUUUUCUAAGUAGUACUUCGCUUUAGCAGUUCUGAAGUUAAUGAAGUGUGCAUGGAUUAUUGCUGCAUGUAUUUUACUUCAAAGCUGGUUAUUCCCUAGAAGUCAGAGGCUUUGCAUGUCUGUUGAUAUAGAAAAGUGGCUGAGAAAGUACUAAUACAAAACUUCUGGGUUUUGACAUAAUGCUAGAGGAGCAAAAAAGCAAGUUACAUGCUUAACUUUGCAAAUCUGACCACAGCAUCAGAUCAAGCAAGAUGAAGAGUUGAUGCUGGGUUGUUUUUUGCUACAGUUAAGACGACCUUACCUAGGAAGUCUGCAGGACAGCCCUUAGAGCAGCUCUGAGAAUCAUUUGGUGGCAGCCCUACUUGUGGUUGUUCUGAGAACUGUAACUGAUCUUGAGAUACUGAUCUGAAGGACGCCUACUUCUGCACUGAGACACUUGUCCAACACUCAGCUGCAGAAAUGCCCCAGGAGCUAAAGUCAACAACUGAUGUGCAUGAACACAAUAUGCCUACAUACUCAAGCUGCGGGAAGAGGAAAGAGAGGAAAAAAGGAACUUAGAUGGGUUCUUCCAUUUUUCUGUAGAGCUGUUAGUGACUCAGUCUAGAAUUUAGAGCUGUGAUUUAGCAUAGCUGGGGAGGUUGCAGAAAAAAAGCCUGUAUUGUUUCUCAGUUUCUGUAAGUAAGCAGAAGUUACAGGACCAUAAAGCUAAUGUGGGAGGUAACCUCUUGAAGAUAUGGUCUUACAUUUGUCUACUCAGCAUAUCAUAAGGAUUAUAAAUGGUUUGACAGUAUACUUCUGGAAAACUACCUGAUACACAAGAGAACUUGAAAUUUUACAAACGGUUGUCAGUUCAGUGUUACAUCUUAGUCUUUUCCCUGUUGUGAAAUACUUGAAAAAUACAUCAACUACUUGCUUUUAAGCAUAUUCCAGGAAUGCUUUCUGAUAUUAGAGCAUCUACAGUUAGACAAUAGAUUACUUUUAUGUAUUGGGGAGGAUAGAGAUGUUUUCUUCUUUAAAAACUGUACAGCAGUAACAACGGUUAUAUUUAAGCCCUUGUCACCUCCAGGGAGGGCAGGGUAAUUUGCUUUUCUUUGUAUUUACAUAUUUUCGUUAAAUCAUUGUACAGCAUACCUAAAGCUAAAGCUACAUAGUCUUUGUUCCUGGAAAUGUCCCAGGAUACUUUGCAUAUGCUCUGUGCAUAGCAGAUAAUUUGGUGUUUUUUUCCCCCCUUCCCCAGUAUUUUUACUCAUCCCCCCAAAGAAGUUGUUCAUGUGCUUAAUCACUGUAAUAUACAUAGUGAGGCUAAUUAUGCUGUAGCUAAAAAUGUUUUCUGCCAUCUUGUUAUAAGGCCCCUCACAGAUCAAACUAGAGACACACAAAUAGUGAAUGUUUUAAUUUUUCACAUAUCUAGAUCUAUCUGCUUUGAAGAACAGCAUUGUAAGCUUCUCCCAUUAUUAACAAACAGAUAGAAGCCUUCCACAUCCCUGCGUGCCAUGUUCCAGAUGCAGAUUAACAUCAUUAACAUCAACAGCAGUCUCCCGGUCUGUCUGGCAGGAGGUAUUGAUCUGUAUUUUAGACCUAGUGUAGAUGCUCAUUUUGAUGAUGCUAGAACCAGGAGUGUGCUCUUGAAGUAGUAUUUGUGUUCAGCACUUUGACUUGACCUUGAAGUUUUCAGAUAGACCACCAGAAGCUGCACCUCAGGAGCAUGUGUGCCCCCAUACCCACCCACUCAUGGGUGGGAGAGCUUACAAGAGCAGGCGAGAGCUAGUCCAAACUGACCACACAUGACCUAUAUAGUGGGAUACAGUGACCUAUAUAGAGCCCUCAGUAUCAGAUAUUCUGAUUUACAAACCUGUACUAUUUCCUGAGGUAGAUACAGCCAGCAGUAAUUAUAAGAGAUCAGUCUAGUGUUAAGCUAAUUAGAAACUGAUCUGUUUGAACUCAACGUGAAGGAAGGCCCAUAGGGAACAGGAACACCCAUUGGGAUGUUUGAUCCACAAGAACUCUGACAUUUCCAAACAUCUUCAGGAAAAGAGGGACUAGCCUAAAUGCCAGGGGAGGUUCAGGUUGGAAAUUAGGAGGCAUUUCUUUCUCAGAAAGAGCAGUCACGCAUUGGAAUGGGUUGCCCAGGGAGGUGGUAGAGUCACUGUCCCAGGGGGUGUUCAAAGGAGAGGUUGGACGUGGUGCUUAGGGACAUGGUUUAGUCGGUGACAUUGGUAGCAGGGGGAUGUUUGGACCAGAGGAUCUUGGAGGUCUUUUCCAACCUUCAUGAUUCCAUAAUCUUAGGCCAGUGUUUCCCGGUCUUCACCCUCUGCAGCUGUUUGUAUGGUGUUGGUGAAUGCCACAAAUUGAAGGUGUAAACAAGUGUUGGUACACCAAGAGUUAGACUGCUUGAAAAGACAAGCUCAUCUAAACAACAUUAGGUUAAAAGUAACAUGAAAAAUUCACCUGAGGGUGGGAAAUGUGUGUAGGGUAUUUAUGAGCUGGGAGAAGAGAAAAUGCUCAGGAAUGAAGAGACAUUUGUAAGUACAGGGUGAAUAGACUGUUUAACAAGAUUCCCUGUGGCAGGUUUUAGGUGGAAGGAAUGCAAGUCUUGUCAGAGAAAGAUUGACAAGAAAACAAGGAUUUGUGUCCUGUUUAUGGCAUAGGAGAACUGUAAAAGCAGCAUUAACAUUAAGACCAGGCACAGAAAUGUUGUAGCUUAGAUUAGAGAGCUGCAAGGAUCAACUCUGGAAAGCAUAUAUGAAAAGUAUAGUAGGUAGAGCAAUGAGGCUGGAUUAGAUGUGCUUAGAAGCAAUUCAGCUCCUCUCCAUAUAGAUACUGGUGUUUUUUUUGUUUGGUUGGUUUUGACAGAGAUCACUACUAGACUGCUCUUCAACCUACCAGGGAGGGAGGGAGAGUAUGAACAAGUACAAGAAAGCCAGGGCUAGCCAGGUAGAAAAAAAUGUUAGGGAUAAAGUAGAUGGACUCAGUGAGGAGAACAAGCCAUGAAAUAUCUUUUUGUUAAGUCUUAAGGGAGGAAAAGGUAUUGUCUUAAAAGUUCUCCAUGUCUUGUUAGCUUGAUAUGGAUGAUGUCACUAAAUCUUUGAUUCACAACACAUCGAUCUCAUAUCAUUCUUUUGGCCUCUCCUCUGAAUGAGCUCUCUGCAAAGCACAAGUAAGGGUCUUUGGAGGGGCUCUCCUUGGAAGCAGUCUUGCCAAGCAGCAGACAAUUACUUUUCCUCUAUGCUGCCUUCCCACCAUUUUAUCACCAGCCCUAGUAAAAGCUAGGCUCGAGAGAAACAUUUAUCAUGUUUGAUGGGACUGGUUACCCAGCAAGUAUAUUAUUAAUGAGCAUUCAGAGGAAAAAGACAGCUUAUCUGUCUAAAGUAGUGCCGUGGCACUGUUUUCACAUGACUCCAAAUGCCAGCCAUUUAACUUGUAGUAAAAUCCAGCUUUAGGCUGAAUUUCUGCCUUGGCCCUUUACCAUCAUUCCACCUUGGAAUUCAGAGGGCUGCAACAUGGUUUAGAUCAUAUGCCAAACCAGUCUGAUGAUUGAGUUUAGAUGGAAGAAUGAUAUUGCUUAUUCCAUUAGGACUGGAAAGCAACUGUCAGCAGAUAUAACUACAACAUGAGCUGCUGUAAGAAGCUUGGGAAAACCUUCUGUUAAAUAGAAGGCACACAAGUUAUUAGAGCUGCAGUUAUCUAAGUUUAAUUCUGGCAUCCAGGAACGCUUCCUUGGGUUUUAUAGAAGAUGUACAUUAGUGGAUACAGCUAUACAAGUACACAGGGAGAAAACUAAAAACCUACAUGCUUCAGAGCCUGUAGUAUAGCUAUAAAGAUGCAGCAUAUUAGCACAAGCACAUAGUGCAUAAUAUUAGGGAUUUUUUUUUUUUAAUCAUUACAUUUGGUCUAGACAACAGCACAGACAGAAUGCUCUUUUAGAAGUGCUGGCUUGCUGUAGUACAACAUUUCUACAUGUAGCAUAACUGGUAAAGCCUACACUAAGAGAUUAUUUACAAUAAGUAGUACUUCUAGGAUUCCCUAUACAGUAUAGGAAUGUUGAGAAAUACUCAACAGAAGCCAUAAACCACCAUUUAUAUAAAAA